rnacentral:rRNA from 1 species
CAUUGGCUCAACCAANGUAUGCUUUGGAAACUGUUAGACUUGAGUGCAGAAGGGGAGAGUGGAAUUCCAUGUGUAGCGGUGAAAUGCGUAGAUAUAUGGAGGANCACCGGUGGCGAAAGCCGCUCUCUGGUCUGUCACUGACGCUGAGGCUCGAAAGCGUGGGUAGCGAACAGGAUUAGAUACCCUGGUAGUNCACGCCGUAAACGCUGAGUGCUAGGUGUUAGGUCCUUUCCGGGACUUAGUGCCGACGCUAACGCAUUAAGCACUCCGCCUGGGGAGUACGACCGCAAGGUUGAAACUCAAAGGAAUUGACGGGGGCCCGCACAAGCGGUGGAGCAUGUGGUUUAAUUCGAAGCAACGCGAAGAACCUUACCAGGUCUUGACAUCCCGAUGCCCGCUCUAGAGAUAGAGUUUUUCUUCGGAACAUCGGAGACAGGUGGUGCAUGGUUGUCGUCAGCUCGUGUCGUGAGAUGUUGGGUUAAGUCCCGCAACGAGCGCAACCCUUAUUGUUAGUUGCCAUCAUUAAGUUGGGCACUCUAGCGAGACUGCCGGUAAUAAACCGGAGGAAGGUGGGGAUGACGUCAAAUCAUCAUGCCCCUUAUGACCUGGGCUACACACGUGCUACAAUGGUUGGUACAGCGAGUCGCAAGCCGGUGACGGCAAGCUAAUCUCUGAAAGCCAAUCUCAGUUCGGAUUGUAGGCUGCAACUCGCCUACAUGAAGUCGGAAUCGCUAGUAAUCGCGGAUCAGCACGCCGCGGUGAAUACGUUCCCGGGCCUUGUACACACCGCCCGUCACACCACGAGAGUUUGUAACACCCAAAGUCGGUGAGGUAACCAUUUAUGGGGCCAGCCGCCUAAGGUGGGANG